rnacentral:lncRNA from 1 species
UUGUGAGUAAUUUGAAAAUUUUUACUUUUCUUUUCCUCAUUCAAUGACAUUUACUUUUAAUUUAUAGGUUCAUCUUCAGAUGCAUUAAUUAACACCUGCAGUCAUGGAUAAGAAGAGGAAUUUCCUUUAAAAAACCGAGAAGCAUUAUGAAGUUGCUAAGAUUUUGACCCCAUUCCUCUAAAGCCUUGUAUAUAAUCUCUUCCUCACCAAUAACUCAGUGUGUGGUGAGCAAAACAGUAGAAAAAAAGUAGAAAGAUCGGGAACAGUGGCAGAGACCACCAGCAAAGAGCAGCUGUCUUAUGAAACAGCAGGAAGGAGCCACUCAAGGAAGUAAAAGAGGAGUCUUAAAUAAAGACCAUAGUCUUUCAGAAGAGGAAGAAAAAAAAUUCAAGAUCUUUCCUGGCUGGCUUUAAGAUCCAUUCCCCAAAGUCAAAUUUGAACUGCUCACCCCAUAGCCAUCUGACACCUGUACAGAAUGCUCUAUCUUUUCUGGACUCCACAUAUGGAAAAUCUCAGCCCAGAUUUCUCCCAGGUCUCCAAUUAUAAACUCUC